AAAACCUAGAUUUUCUAAUCUUUACAAAACACAGUCAUGAAAUUUUACUAAAAUAAAAUAUUCAAAACUUUCAACAACGGAUCUCUUGGUUCUCGCAACGAUGAAGAACGCAGCGAAAUGCGAUACGUAAUAUGAAUUGCAGGUUUUCGUGAAUCAUCGAAUCUUUGAACGCACAUUGCGCCUUUUGGUAUUCCAGAAGGCAUGCCUGUUUGAGCGUCAUUUCUUUC
rnacentral:rRNA from 1 species